rnacentral:rRNA from 1 species
GACGAACGCUGGCGGCGUGCCUAAUACAUGCAAGUUGAGCACUGAAGGUUGGUACUUGUACCAACUGGAUGAGCAGCGAACGGGUGAGUAACGCGUGGGGAAUCUGCCUUUGAGCGGGGGACAACAUUUGGAAACGAAUGCUAAUACCGCAUAAAAACUUUAAACACAAGUUUUAAGUUUGAAAGAUGCAAUUGCAUCACUCAAAGAUGAUCCCGCGUUGUAUUAGCUAGUUGGUGAGGUAAAGGCUCACCAAGGCGAUGAUACAUAGCCGACCUGAGAGGGUGAUCGGCCACAUUGGGACUGAGACACGGCCCAAACUCCUACGGGAGGCAGCAGUAGGGAAUCCUCGGCAAUGGACGAAAGUCUGACCGAGCAACGCCGCGUGAGUGAAGAAGGUUUUCGGAUCGUAAAACUCUGUUGGUAGAGAAGAACGUUGGUGAGAGUGGAAAGCUCAUCAAGUGACGGUAACUACCCAGAAAGGGACGGCUAACUACGUG